rnacentral:lncRNA from 1 species
AGCUUUCCAAACUCAGCAGAGCACACAUCAGAGUGUGUUUAGUUCAUCUGGGCUGGUGAGUUCCAGUGAUGAAAGCCUGGUGCUAAUGGAGGCGAGGUCACCGGUUCAAUCCUCAUAGGACCCAGUUCACUUACAAGAGAAAAAACACUACUCAAGAACCAGAGACACCUCCUGACCCCAGUCACUGACCACAAGAAGGAUGGGGUGAAAACGAUGGCUGACCCAGGGCAAAACCAUCUGAUAAACAACUCAGACAGCACACCCCCAACCCCCAGCAGGAGAAGCCAGCACCUUCUAGUUUAAGGAUUUUAUAAAACCGCUUUUAUAAAAAUCCCUGCGGACAAGUUCACAGUAGCUGACUCCCCAAGAUGAGACGUGCUGCUUUAGGAGGGGGCUGAAGAGCUAUGCCCAGACUGGAGCACGAGUCUGCUUGCUGGUGUGUUUCUCAGUCCAGUUUGAUUUUUUAAAGGUACCCUCCAUGGGACAGAACUCUGCUUACAAACUUUAAAACUGGAUGAUGCAAAAAUUACCUGCACAGCAGAGGAGGACAACGAACCAUAGAAUUGAGAACAGAAAGGAUCAUUAAACAUCACCUACUCCAAAUGCAUUCGUUUCCAGAACUCCACAAGCAAGGGCAGAGCCCAGGACUCCUGUUGCCUGAUUUUGUGCCUGAGGAUCUUGGCUCUUGAAGCAGGAGAACCUUCAGUGUAUGUUAGAAACUUCUGGGAGGGCUUGGCCAAGAUACAAGCUCUGGAUCCCACCACGGAGAUUCUGCUUCUGCAGGCUGAGGUCUGUCCAGGAAACAGCAUUUUAAUAAGCUCAGAUUCUGAUUUGGAUGAUCUUUGAAACAAACCAAAGCCCAAUACACACAAGCUUCCCAAUCACUUGCAGUUAAUUUUCACAAACGUUUUCUUAUAUUCAUUAUUAAUCUAGAAAAAAAGCAAUAAAUAUUUUCUAAGCACUUCUUUUUAGAAAUUAUUUUUAUUAUGGUUACAUAUAUGAAAAAUAAUAAAAAUUGCCAUUUUAACCACUUUU